GACGAACGCUGGCGGCGUGCUUAACACAUGCAAGUCGAACGGUGAAGGGAUCAGCUUGCUGGUUCUGGAUGAGUGGCGAACGGGUGAGUAACACGUGAGUAACCUGCCCCCUUCUUCUGGAUAACCGCAUGAAAGUGUGGCUAAUACGGGAUAUUCUGCGCCUGCUGCAUGGUGGGUGUGGGAAAGAUAUUGUUUCGGUGGGGGAUGGGCUCGCGGCCUAUCAGCUUGUUGGUGGGGUGAUGGCCUACCAAGGCGGUGACGGGUAGCCGGCCUGAGAGGGUGGACGGUCACACUGGGACUGAGACACGGCCCAGACUCCUACGGGAGGCAGCAGUGGGGAAUAUUGCACAAGGGGCGCAAGCCUGAUGCAGCGACGCCGCGGGAGGGAUGGAGGCCUUCGGGUGGUGAACCUCUUUCGCCAGUGAAGCAGGCCUGUCCCUUGUGGGUGGGUGGACGGGAGCUGGAUAAGAAGCGCCGGCUAACUACGG
rnacentral:rRNA from 1 species